AGAAUUCCUUCAUGGUGGCGGUUCCAAUGCUAAAAGAAAUAUGGUUCUUAUAACAAUACAACUAUAAGGUACAUUUUUCUAUAAACUUUACUCAUCAAAUCGUUUAACCAUGACUUUAACACAGAUAUUGUCAUCGUCGGGGAAGUUGAGACCGUGCUCAAAGAAUUCCUUCAUGGUGACGGUUCCAAUGGUAAAAGAAAUAUGGUUCUUAUAACAAUACAACUAUAAGGUACAUUAUUCUAUAAACUUUACAUGGUGGCGGUUAAAAUGGUAAAAGAAAUAUGGUUCUUAUAACAAUACAACUAUAAGGUACAUUUUUCUAUAAACUUUACUCAUCAAAUCGUUUAACCAUGACUUUAACACAGAUAUUGUCAUCGUCGGGGAAGUUGAGACCGUGCUCAAAGAAUUCCUUCAUGGAGACGGUUCCAAUGGUAAAAGGAAUAUGGUUCUUGUAACUAUACAACUAUAAGGUACAUUUUUCUAUAAACCUUAGUCAUCAAACCGUUUAACCAUGACUUUGACACAGAUAUUGUCAUCGUCGGGGAAGUUCAGGCCGUGCUCAAAGAAUUCCUUCAUGGAGACCUUUCCAAUGGUAAAAGAAAUAUGGUUCUUAUAACAAUUCAACUAUAAGGUACAUUAUUCUAUAAACCUUACUCAUCAAACCGUUUAACCAUGAC